GCCUGGGUGGCUCAGUCGGUUGAGCGUCCGACUUCAGCUCAGGUCAUGAUCUCACGGUUUGUGGGUUCAAGCCCUGCAUCAGGCU
rnacentral:tRNA from 1 species